rnacentral:misc_RNA from 1 species
AAACAACAUAUAACAAUAUCUAACAAUUUUAUUUAUUAUUGGGCUUUUUUAAUCUUCUCCGUAGAUCGCAGACUUUCCAUAAUUUUUGGUAAUAAUUCUGUAAAUAUUACUGUUCCUAGAAAGACUAAAAUUGUACCAAUCCAGUGGUACAGUGUGAAAGGAUUUUUAAAAUAUAUUAUAGAAAAGAUUAGAGAUAAAAAUUUUCGUAAUGUUAUGACUAAAGUCACUGUCAGUGAUGUACAUUCUGCUGUUAAUGUAAAAACGGAACUAAUGCACACAUAUCUAAAAUUAUUGUUAAGGUGUGUGAGAACAUUUCCUAUAAGAUAUAGAAUUAAUUUUGGCAUUUGUAGAUUAAUAGUUGAUAUUUUUAUUGGAUCUGAUGCUAGAGCAUACAUGAAAUGAUCCCAGAUAUUAGGAGCCAAUGUUAAGAAAAAUGGUAAAGGUAGUAAAUGCUGAAAUCAGAUAAUUAAUUAUAUAUAUAUAUAUAUAUAUACACAUUAUUUAUAUUAUUUACUACAUAUUAUAUCCAGUUUAAAUGUAUACACUCUAUAUAAACACUUUGGAAGAGAAUCCAAAUUAAUCAAGUUUCUCUAUUAAAUGAAACAAUUCUAAUAUGAAGACCUUUUCCAUAUUUUUAAUAAUUACAGAAAUAAUGCUGUAUGUAUAUUUAAACUGAACAUAUUCUAUAAAUUUGUAAAUGAGAUAGGGAAUUAUACCGUGUAGUAUAAAGCUUCUCUUGGAUUUUUUCCAUACUUUUUAUGCAAUACUUCUUGAUAGAUACCCAUUCUUGCAGAUACAAAUAGUGCAAUUGUCAAUAAUGAUAUACCUAAUAUCCACCAAAACAAAUCAUCCCAUGGUGUUGUAGGUACUUGUUCUACAUUCUUGGCUCGCAAAGAUUUAAUUUCUUUGCCGCUAACAAUAGUACAAAUAGCAAUUCCAAGGGUUAUCAUAAAUACUGACAAAUAUUUACUAAAAACAUAUCUCUUCUUUAAAAUAAUGAUACCCAUGAUCAUAUUAGCUAUUAGAGAACCCUAAAAUUAUUGAAUAUAAACAAUAAUUGCUUGGGAAUUCAAAUUUUGUAAUAUACUUCAUAUUUAAAUACUCACAGCUCUGAAUAUCAUAUGUAAUGGCAUGGGUAUAUUAAAAUCAAAUGCGUAAUUAUUACAAACAUUUGCAAUAAAAAACAUUGUUACUAAUAUAAAGUAAUCCUUUAUUCCUAUAUUGGGCUUUACAGUCCCACAUUUUGAAGUAAAUAAAAAUCCUUCUAUUGAUAUAAAAAGGAACUGUGCAAAUGUAAUAA